rnacentral:rRNA from 1 species
GCCUUUCAAUUGAGGGGCAGCCUGAUCCAGCCAUGCCGCGUGAGUGAUGAAGGCCUUAGGGUCGUAAAGCUCUUUCGCCUGUGAUGAUAAUGACGGUAGCAGGUAAAGAAACCCCGGCUAACUCCGUGCCAGCAGCCGCGGUAAUACGGAGGGGGUUAGCGUUGUUCGGAAUUACUGGGCGUAAAGCGCACGUAGGCGGAUCAGAAAGUUGGGGGUGAAAUCCCGGGGCUCAACCCCGGAACUGCCUCCAAAACUCCUGGUCUAGAGUUCGAGAGAGGUGAGUGGAAUUCCGAGUGUAGAGGUGAAAUUCGUAGAUAUUCGGAGGAACACCAGUGGCGAAGGCGGCUCACUGGCUCGAUACUGACGCUGAGGUGCGAAAGUGUGGGGAGCAAACAGGAUUAGAUACCCUGGUAGUCCACACCGUAAACGAUGAAUGCCAGUCGUCGGGUAGUAUACUAUUCGGUGACACACCUAACGGAUUAAGCAUUCCGCCUGGGGAGUACGGUCGCAAGAUUAAAACUCAAAGGAAUUGACGGA